CCCCCGCCAAAUUCAGUAUUUGUUGGAGAGUGGCGCAGCUAAAUGGUUUGAUAAUAAGCAGAACAACUGUGACGGGAAAACAAGAGGAGAUAUUAAAACUGGAGACUUGUAUCGAGACAAAGUUAGAAUCACUGAUGAGCUCAUCAGUUACAUCACUCUGCAACUUAACACAGACGGAGCUGAGUGUCACAAAAAAAGCAAAUUUACUUUUUGGGCAUUUAUGGGAGUACCUAACGAACUCCCUUACUGGUUAAGAAGAUCAAAUAUUCUCUUAUUCGCCUUAUGGUACGGUAACAAAAAGCCCCCAAGUGGACCUUUCCUUGAAGCCUCAAUAUCGGACCUCCAGCAGCUUGGGACCAAAUGAGUGCAGUUCAAUCAACGAACUUAUUUGGUGAAGCCAUUAAUUCUCACAACAGAUUCCAUGGCACGCAGUGUUUUUCUAAAUGGUUCCACUUUUCGAGGAGAGUGUGGAUGCGAUUUUUGUCUUCAUCCUGGAGAGAUGGUUAAAAUUGGCCGUGGAAGUACAAGAGUGUACCCCGAACCGACCUAAAAUCCUACUUUUGCACCGAGAACUAUUGAACAGCACGAACGUGAUCUGAUGGUAUUUCAAUCGAAUCGAAUUAUCGAAUUUGUAUUUUCAUACAGACUGUUCUGGGUAACGAGAAACGCCUCAACGGAAUUAAAGGCCCUUCUCCAUUUUUGGCUCUUUUGGAUUUUGAUUACGUCGAGGCGCAAGUACCAGAUUAUCUGCAUUGUGUCUGCCAAGGAGGAAUUAAGUUUCUGGUGGACUUAUGGACUUUGACCAAAUAUUUUAAACAACCUUGG